rnacentral:sRNA from 1 species
CUCACUUCCUGCCUGCCCAGCUGUGAAUCUGUGUGUUUCUCUCUCCCCAUUCCCUAUCCCCAGUUCUCACAGCUGGUGAACGGGGAUGUGGCUUUGCUGGGCGGGGGCCCCUACAUGCUCUGCACUGAUGGGCAGCAGCUAUUGCGACAGGUCCUGCACCCCGAGGCCUCCAGGAAGAACCUGGUGCUCCCCGACAUGUUCUUCUCCUUCUAUGACCUCCGAAGAGAAUUCCAUAUGCAGCAUCCAAGCACCUGCCCUGCCAGGGACCUCACUGUGGCCACCAUGGCACAGGAUUUAGGACUGGAGACAGAUGCCACAGAGGAUGACUUUGGGGUCUGGGAAGUCAAGACAAUGGUAGCUGUUAUCCUCCAUCUACUCAAAGAGCCCAGCAGUCAAUUGUUUUCGAAGCCCGAGGUGAUAAAGCAGAAAUACGAGACGGGGCCUUGGUGAGUGUGGGAGCAGGGGCUGGGGGUGACAACAGCUGAAUAGCUCUGACAGCACUGUGCCCUGCCCCUACAGCAGCAAGGCUGAUGUGGUGGACAGUGAGACUGUGGUACGGGCUCGUGGGUUGCCGUGGCAGUCAUCAGACCAGGACGUGGCUCGCUUCUUCAAAGGGCUCAACGUGGCCAGGUGGGUGUGGCAGGGUGGGUGGGCCCAAUUGGACAG